AUUGAACGCUGGCGGCAGGCUUAACACAUGCAAGUCGAGCGGGGGAAGGUAGCUUGCUACUGGACCUAGCGGCGGACGGGUGAGUAAUGCUUAGGAAUCUGCCUAUUAGUGGGGGACAACAUCUCGAAAGGGAUGCUAAUACCGCAUACGUCCUACGGGAGGAAGCAGGGGAUCUUCGGACCUUGCGCUGAUAGAUGAGCCUAAGUCGGAUUAGCUAGUUGGUGGGGUAAAGGCCUACCAAGGCGACGAUCUGUAGCGGGUCUGAGAGGAUGAUCCGCCACACUGGGACUGAGACCCGGCCCAGACUCCUACGGGAGGCAGCAGUGGGGAAUAUUGGACAAUGGGGGGAACCCUGAUCCAGCCAUGCCGCGUGUGUGAAGAAGGCCUUAUGGUUGUAAAGCACUUUAAGCGAGGAGGAGGCUACUUUAGUUAAUACCUAGAGAUAGUGGACGUUACUCGCAGAAUAAGCACCGGCUAACUCUGUGCCAGCAGCCGCCGUAA
rnacentral:rRNA from 1 species